rnacentral:lncRNA from 1 species
GUGUAAUGAACCAAUUCCAGGAGCUCAUGUUCUCACCCUCUACAACUGCCCAUGCUAUUGGGAACAUCUGAUUGUUCCCAUCCUUCCCGACUGCACUUAAUAUCAUUCCUGGCACUUCCCCCUUUAAGAAACAUAAGUGUAAAGCAAAAAAUCGUCUACACCCUACUAGAAAUCCUUUUCGUAGACAGCUAAAACCAAUAUAGAUCCAACUGAAUAGUAGGUAGUCCUUGCCCGGUACUGGUUCAACCUAGACAACAAAUUUCCCUUCUGGAUCUGUCUUCUUCAACUGCAAAAGGUACGGCCUCAACUUGGUGUACGAUUGAGCAAGUGUACCUUCUACAGCCUUUUUAGCUUCGGCUUUAGCAUUAGAGCAAACUUUAAGUGACACCUCCAAACCAUAUUCAGCUUUUACCUCUUUUUGGAGAUGUUUAAUAUCGAAAUUUGGAUUUAUACUAAACUGGC